GGCAAAAUGGCUCAGUCGGGUAGAGGUUUAGGUGUGGCCCAGAAGGUCAUGGGUUCAAUCCCCACUGCUGGCA